rnacentral:rRNA from 1 species
AAUAGAUACCCGUGGUAGUCCACGCCGUAAACGAUGAGUGCUAAGUGUUAGAGGGUUUCCGCCCUUUAGUGCUGCAGCUAACGCAUUAAGCACUCCACCUGGGGAGUACGGCCGCAAGGCUGAAACUCAAAGGAAUUGACGGGGGCCCGCACAAGCGGUGGAGCAUGUGGUUUAAUUCGAAGCAACGCGAAGAACCUUACCAGGUCUUGACAUCCUCUGACAACCCUAGAGAUAGGGCUUUCCCCUUCGGGGGACAGAGUGACAGGUGGUGCAUGGUUGUCGUCAGCUCGUGUCGUGAGAUGUUGGGUUAAGUCCCGCAACGAGCGCAACCCUUGAUCUUAGUUGCCAGCAUUCAGUUGGGCACUCUAAGGUGACUGCCGGUGACAAACCGGAGGAAGGUGGGGAUGACGUCAAAUCAUCAUGCCCCUUAUGACCUGGGCUACACACGUGCUACAAUGGAUGGUACAAAGGGCUGCAAACCUGCGAAGGUAAGCGAAUCCCAUAAAAGCCAUUCUCAGUUCGGAUUGCAGG